UUGGCAGCAGUUAGCUCAGGGCUAAUCUUCCUCAAAAAAAAAAAAAAUUACACACUGAUGGGCACAAAAACUUAUUUGGCACAGUAUAUACCACAGGCCAAUGGUGAUUAGUGCUAGAUAAUGAGACUACAGGGGGUUAAGUCUGGAACUUUCUUGUGAAUUUACCUCUAUUUUGAGAUUUGGGGGCAACAGACAUUGAUUAGCUCUGUCACUUUUCUUAACUAAAUUGAAACGUUUCCCAAAGACGUUACUACAUAGAAACAAAGCCCUGAUCCUCUGGCCUCCGGCACAGCGCUCGGCCCUCCCAGACAGUGAGCGCCUCUCCUGCGUGGCUUCCUUCUCUGGCAUCUCAAGACCAAGGCGGCUCGGGCGGGGGGACCGCCUCUCCUGGCUCGGGCGGGGGCGACAAGCACACAACAGAGGCUGACCAGGGUCAAGUGGAGGCAGCCGCAGCUUCUCUCAUGUGGCUCCUCACUCCCACCCGCUGAUGACCGGGCCAGAGUCGGGGGACCACGUUCCCACAUGGCACGCGUCCAUUUGCAGCCUAGGUAAGCUCGAGCUCCACAUGGUCCAGGCCAAGUGCGCAUCACUUUAGAGAAACACGAGUCCCCUGAAGUGAAGACAACUCCACUCGUUCCUGUGUCGCCUAAAGACACUGGAAGGCCCUCCAGCUCCCUAUCUGCAGCCCUACAUCUUGACGUCUCUCCUCCAUUCUUCUCCUUGCCUUUUCCUUGCCGCGAAGCUGGCCUGGAACCUCUCGCCUCCUGCCUCACACCCAGGGCCUCCCCCACACUCUCUCCAGUGCCCUCAGCACGGCGUCUUCCCUUCUCUCCCCACUCCUGUUCUGUCAACUGCUGUCCUCUUUUCUCCCGGGUAUGCACUGACCAUUUUUGGUCCCCUAAGAUUGUUCAUUGAUUCAUUCAACAGGAGGCCCCCGGGGACCAGCUCUGUGUAGUUUCACCUUCACGUCUCUGCCCUCGGAAAGCUCCCCAUCUACGAGGAAGACAAGCUUGCAUGCGAGUCAGAAAGCGACAGACGUUGAAUAAUGCCACUGAGGAUGCUCAUGCCACCUGUGCCAAGGGGCUAGGCCUGUGCUCCCAGGGUACAAACUCUGGACACAGUUCUUGUUUACAGAUGUCAUCUUUGGCCUGGGGGCCCGGACAGCUGCACAGAGGCCUGAGUGAUGAUGCUGCAGGAAAGCAGCUGAUGCUGUGGGGGGUCCACUAUAAGGAAAGGUGGCCUUUUUUCUUUUUUUCUUUUCAUUUAUUGGAAACAUUUUUGUUAUUUUCCUGAUAGCACAAGCUUGUUCCAAAAAAAAUUCCAACUCCAUAGAGAGCAAAAAUCCCCCUACAAUCCCCCUCCACGUGGCGGGAUCACCACCGUUAGUAGUUUACCAUUUAUCUUUUCAGAAUUCACUUUUUUUUUUACAUAGUCUCAAAUUAAACAUACUUUUUUGUCACCUGAUUUUUUUCACUUACCCAUACAUUUCCAAUGUCUUUCUACAUCAGUACACAUAAAUCUCACUCAUCCUUUUUCCUCAUAGUUGUAUGUGAGAGAAAAAUUAACAUUCAAAACCCUAUUGCUAGACAUUUAGGUGUUUUCCAGUUUUUUCGCUCUUCCAAGUCACGCUGCACGUAUACCCAGCAAGGGGUUGUGUUCCCCCAUCCCCAGAGGGGCUCGAGGCUGGACUAUUGCCAGUCGUGAAGCUGCAACCAGAUUCAAACACUGGAUGGGAGGUUAGACCAGUCCUGGAGCCCAUCCUCAUCCUGGAACACCACCUGGCCGUGCCCAGCGCCUCUGGGUGAAUGGGUACCAGCCCUGCCACGUGGGGGCCUCCCACACUCUCCUGAAUUCCACAUCUUAACGUCGAGCUGAUUCCCAGAUCCAACCCAGGUCCCCAGUUCUCAUGGCUUCUCCUCCUGGGAUCCUCUUCCUCCAGGCCUCAUGCUGGGCACCUCCUUGGUCUCUGUAGGGAGCUUCGGCCCUGUGGAGAGGGGCCAGGGAGCAAAAGAGCUGAUGUUUAAGGAGAGAACCAGCCCCCCGGCAUGGCCCCUCCCCUCCCCAGUCACCCAAACCUUGCUGCUGAGAAGCCCAAAGUUCACCAGUUAACUCAUCCAACAACAGCCACCAGCUGUGAGCAUCUCCCGCGGGCCAGGCCCCCUGCUGCGCUCGGGGCCACCGGGACGGCUCUGAGAGGCCCUUGCCCCAAGAGGCCCAGGCCUGAUGUACACCGAAAGAAAUCACCUCAACUUAAGGGGCCAAGUUUUAAGCUAGAAGGACGUUAAGAAGGUUGAGUAAGGGUUGUCCAGUCCAGCAGUGGGCAAACUUUUUCUGUAAAGAUCUAGAUGGUAAACGUGUGAGGCUUUGGGGCCCAGGUGUUCUGUCACAGCUACUCAACUGCCCUUGUGGUUUGCAAGCAGCCACAGACAGUACCAAACGAACGGGCGUGUUUAGCAAUUUCUUUGCAGCACAUGGGAACCCGACAUGGCUUGCCGGAGAGAGCGUGUGAACUUGUCUAGCCAGUGGUUCCCACCGCAGAGGCCCACAGAAGUGCCGGGGCGGGGGCGGUUAAGUUCCCGGGAUGGGGACACGCAGCACAGUGGAGAGCCACUUGCGUGGGGGCCGCAUCUUGAAGCCCCACGACUGCCCGCUUCUCAGAGAGGGAGCUGGGAUCCACGCCCGGGUGGCCUGUCUUUCUAGGGUUUUGUUGCCAUUCUAGAAAGAGCUGGUUUCCUUGCACAAACGGAGCCCUCUCUGCCAGAUUUGCCAAGGAAAAUAACAGCUCUGCAGGGGCCGGCAGACGUCCGGUGAGUGGCUGCGGCUUGGCAGCAGUUGUGACAGGGCUCAGGACCCUCCCGCAGCCCCCGGCGCUUCCUGACAGGGAACCAGGGAGGACCAGGGGAUGCUGUGGGCGCGGUGGAGAAGCUGGCCCUGCGGAUAGGAGGGAUAGCGGCUGAGCACAGCCCCGUGCGGCUCUCCUGACCGCUCUGAAUGCCUGUGAUUCAGGGUCUUCUCUGUGGCAAUGGGCACAAUAGUCGUGGCAGGAAUGCCAGGAAGGACAACCAGCACGGUGCCACUGUUUGCUGCGAGGACUGAGGCCCAGUACGGGCCAGAGCGAGGGCUUAGGAGAGGUUCGCACUACCAGGUGGAAACCCGUUUAAUCAUCGGUCUCCCCCGAACAGUUUACACUCAGAGAGAAGAGGGCGGAGUUGACCUCAUGCUCUGCUGUGGCCCCGCGGGCCAGCACAGCGCACUCGGCCCAGAGUGUCCGCAGGAUGUUAGAAGGGAGGGGAGCGGGGGGGAGGACGAGGGGACGAGGAAACCAGCACAAGCUGCCCAGGCUAGGAGCAGCCCGCUGGGGAGGCAGCCGGGGGUCAGCCAGGGUGGCUGAGCUCUGUGUAGAAAGAGAAGCUGCUGCAAAUGUCACCAGGUGGCAAUUUCCUUUGAUUUGAACUGUCAUUUCCUGCAGGAAGUAUUUUGUGCUCUCUGAAGGCAGGCCCUUUCUUUGGAUGGUGGUGUGAGAAAUUACCCACAAAUGUAAAUAAGUGUCUUGAAGGGUUGAUGGGGACGUGUGAGGACCACAGGUGGCCCCGGCGCCUCCAUGCUCUCACUGUGUCACUUCCCUCCCGGCGGCUUCCUCUGUAAGGGGUCGAGUCUGGGCAUGUCCCAUUAUCUCUGAGCCUUGAUUUCCUCAUCUGGUAAAUGGGCCUAAGAAAGUACCUGCCUCUUAGGGCGGCUGCGGGCGUUACACGGAUUGGAGAACGUGGAGCUCAGUCUGUCUAGGGCUCCAGAGCUCCGCCAUCGUUACUGCCCUGUCACCAUCAUCAUCCUCACCACCGGGGCCUUCACGGUCUGUCGCUCUGUGACCCGCCUCACAGUUCCUGAGGUGGAGGGCUGUUAUUUUGACAUAUUAACCGCCGCUCCUCCCCGCAAACACACACCCCUCCUUCCACUCCAUCCUCACACCUGAGCCACCUGCUGCCUCAGGAAAGGGAUGUUUCGGAAGAAGCGGAGAAAAGGGUCCGCAGCAUCGCAUGCCUCUGGAUUCAGGGCAGAGGGAGCCCACAGGGGCUACGGCACAGCCUUCCUUCUAGAAGACACAGAAUGUCUCUAAACUGGGGACAAGGAGAGCCAGAGCAGAAGCUGAGGGAGCUGACGCCAUGCUGCGUGGAGGGAGAACGAGCCCCACGGAGGGCGAUGAGAACAGAGGAACCUGCUCAGACUGUCAAGGGCACCACCGUCAUCAUCAUGACCAUCAUCCCCAUUUUACAGAUGUGAAAACAUAAGCUAAGGGAGACUGCUAACUGGCUGAAAGCUCAGCGGGCGCUGGCAAAUGGUAGUAACUGGCCCUCCAGCAGGAAGAGAAGCCGAGCUGUGCAGUGUUCAUGGGCCUCUGCGGGGUGAAUACUCUCAGCAUGGCUGACCUGAAACGACCGGGCUGACAUCGCUGAAAAGGGAGUCCCCGGGCGGCAUCGGCACCCUUGGCUCUUGUGGGGCCGACACGGACCUGCUCCACCCCGCAGCUGGCCGGUGGCCGGGCUGGGAAUUGAACUCUAGCCUACCGGUCCCUGGAGCUCAAGCAUGUUUCCGGUGUGUGCUGCAGAUUCCCGGCUGGCAGGGCAUUCGCGACAGACCCCCUGGCACGCCUGCAUCGUGAGGUCCUGGUGGAAGGUGGUGCUGGGAGCCAUCCAGCUCUGGCUGCCCCAGAGCGGAAGCAGAUGUGCAAACAGCUGCAUGGGGUGGGACUGCACUGUCACAGAGGCACUGCCCCAGGGACCCACGACUUCUGGAAUCUGGCCGAGGCUGGGUUUCUCUUUUUGAGAGAAGAGAAGGAUGCAGGCAAGUUACGGGAGCAGGGACGCCCCGAGGACUUGAGGGUCCGAGCGUGGACCAGAACCAAGACCUCCUCUCUUCCUUGGGAGGACCCCCCAGUCCCUGCCCACCUCAUCUCAGGGCCAAAUGUGGCCACUGCAGCUAGGGGCACUGGCGUCCACUACGUCUUAGCUCUGCUGUGACAGGAGCCCCAGGGCCUCCCCAGGAUGCUCUCCAGGCCCCAGCCCUGUCUGUGCCACCCUCACAGCCAGCCCCUCUCCGGCUGGCCCCAGGCUGGCUUGUUCCCCAGUCUCUAGCCCCUUCCUGGUCUGAAUAACAGUCCACGUGCUGCGCUUCUCAAACUAUCCAAUAAAGGACUAGGUUUUUUACCCUUAAUUUUCAAUCUACCUUGGACCAAUUUUUAAAUGAAAUACAGCAGCGAGUUGCUAGAAAAUGAAUGGAUAAAAACCACAUACAAAGGCAAGCUUGGGUACAGUAUACCAGCCAUAUCAACGCGCCGUGGAAGUUUCCAAACACAGAUCUCAGUUUCUGUCCUUACAUCACUGUGGAUGUUUGCAGACGGGCACGGGUCCAGGACGACACUCGAGGAGCACUGGUCUGUAGGACCCUUCUUUAUCCCCUGGCCUCUGCCGGCCGUGUCUACCUCUUGACCCCUGAGUGGGACUGCAUCUGCUCCACCCUCCAGCCCAGCGCUCCCCAAACUCAACAGUACACACAGAUCACCAGGGCAGCCUGUUAAAAUGCAGAGUCUGAUGCAGUAGGUCAGGGGUUCUGCAUUCAAACAGGCUCCCAGGUGAGGUUGAUGCUGUUGGAGCCUGGAUCACAUUUGAGGAGCCGGGCACUGGACCCUUGGUGUUGGGCAUGUGGGGGGCUCCACUAAGCUUUGGCUCAGUCGUCCUGCAGGUCCUAGGCUGUCGUCCAGGGGACCCAGGCCUCCAGUAUCUUCCCCAGAGACCUGGCUACAAAUGGGCAUCACCAAGGAAGCAGCAGCAGUGACGGGGGUGCGGGGGCAGGAGGGCGCCCCAGCACUCCCCCCCUCUCCCUCCGCCUCUCAUUUCCCCUCCGGCUGGCUACGAGAAAAUGGGGGAGUUCAGGGAGCGCCAUCCUCCCAGAUGUUCACCCCACUUCCACCUCAUGGUUUUCCAGUUCAAGGACCUGUCUGCGCUUUUUGCUUUCCUUUCAUGUGGUGAUGGUCCAUGAUCCAAUCCCGGGAGCCGGUGAGGCCCUGCAGUCCCCUCCAUGUCAUCUCUAAUUUCUGGGUGCUGCGCUCGCUCGAGAUUAAACAGCGAUUUCAAAGCACCCAACAAAGAGGUCACAUCUCUAGGGAACGGUCGCAGAGGACAAAGGACACAGUGAGUUUUAAAUGACCCAUUUGCAGUGGAGUAAAGAAUGGAAGUAUAAGGAACUUUGGCAAAUAAACGAUCAUAAGUAGGAAAUUAAGAUUCCGUAACAUCACAUCAGAAGUGCUAUUCCAAGACAGGGGGAAAUAAACGAGUUUUUUAAAUGA